GAGGCUGGCGGCGUGCCUUAGGCAUGCAAGUCGAACGGGUGUAGCAAUACACCAGUGGCGGAAGGGUGAGUAACACGUAGGAACGUACCCAUAGGUGGAGAAUAGCUUACCGAAAGGUGAGGUAAUACUCCGUAUCCCGCAAGGGAAUAGGGCUUAACCGCCCGCCAAUGGAGCGGCCUGCGGCCUAUCAGUUUGUUGGUGAGGUAAUGGCUUACCAAGACUAUGACGGGUAGCUGGGCUGAGAGGUCGGCCAGCCACAAUGGAACUUGAGACACGGUCCAUACAUCUACGGAUGGCAGCAACCGGGAAUCUUUGACAAUGGGGGAAACCCUGAUCGAGCGACGCCGCGUGGAGGAUGAAUGCCUUCGGGUUGUAAACUCCUUUUGCCAGGCUAUUCAAGGCUUGGCCGAAUAAGCACCUGCCAACUACGUGCCAGCAGCCGCGGUGAUACUUAGGGUGCAAGCGUUAUCCGGAUUCACUUGGGGCCGUAAAGGGUUGCGUAGCGGCUAACUAAAGGUCAAUAACUGAAAUUUCAUGCUUAACGUGGAACCCGGUUUUGAUACUGCUAGACUUUGAGUCUCGAGAGGUACUGACUUGCAGUGGAGCGUAAAUGCUUAGAUUGCAAGACCCAAAGGCUAGCAGGUACUGGCCAAAUUACCUUAGGCCGAAAGCCAGGGACGAAUGGAUUUAAGCCCCAGUAGUCUGCCGUAACGAUGACCUAGAUGUCGAGUUUUACUUGAUGUGCAAGCUACGCGUAAGUGUUCCGCUGGGAGUCGCCGCAAGGCUAAAACUCAAAGGAAUUGACGGGGACCCGCACAAGCGGUGGAGCAUGUGGUUUAAUUCGAAACAAAGCGAAAAACCUUACCAAGGCUUGAAAUGCUAGCUUCAAGCUGGAUGGAAACAUCCGGCCUUCUUCGAGAGUGCUAGUACAGGUGCUGCAUGGCUGUCGUCAAGCUUGUACCGUGAGGCGCACCCUUAAGUGGGUCAACAAGCGCAACCCCCAUCCUGUGUUAAAUAUUCACAGGAAACUGCCAGUUAAAAACUUGGAGGAAGGCGGGGAUGACGUCAAGUCAGCACGGCCCUUAUGCCUUGGGCUACACACAUCCUACAAUGGAUGUUACAGCGAGUUGCAAUACGGUAACGUAAAGCUAAUCUCACAAAAGCAUCCUCAGUUCAGAUUGAGGGCUGCAAUUCGCCCUCAUGAAGCCGAAAUCGCUAGUAAUCGCGGAUCAGCAGGUCGCGGUGAAUACGUUCUCGGGUCUUGUACACACCGCCCGUCAAGCCAACAAAGUUGGGGGUGCCUAAAGUGUCCUUUAUGGGCCCCAAGGCAAAUCCAGCGAG
rnacentral:rRNA from 1 species